UAACAAAUUUGGCGCUUUCCAAAAUGUUUACCCAUCUUUCUACUUGUUAUGUAAAACCUGAAAACAAAACUGGAAAAAAAGUAUCAGUUUAAUUAAGAAAAUAGUGUUAUGUAGAUAUGAUCUUCCACACUAAAUAUGUUGCAUAUAUCAAUCUUUGUAUAGAGAAUAUGUCAACCAAUAUGUAGAUGGAAAUUUUAGAUCCAAAUACAAAAAUAAAAGAAAAAGAAGGCAGAGAAUAAUCUCACCUUAGCAAAGCAAAAAAGCGAUAAUAGCAUCGAAGGGAAGUUCAUUUUUAUUUGGUCCACUUAUUUUUUGAGGCAAAUUAUAGGAUAUACCUUCAUAUAUCAUAAACAAUAUAUUUGCAUCGAAAAGUCAUAGUAUCACUAUUAUGGAAAAACAUGAUCAUACAAAAUGAGUGUAGCGGUAAAAUAUGGAAAAAUAUAUUGCAAACUUAUAUAGAAUAUUUGUAACAUGGAUAUGAAUACUAAUAAUUUUCUCUACACUUUGUUUUUACCGUAGUUCUUGCGUCUCAAUUUCUCAACCUACAUGACAUGUGUGUUGUUUGCUAGUGUCUUAAAAUUGCAGGGCCUAUGUGGACCUGCCUAAUUAAUGGAACAAUAAUGUUAUGUGCACACAGUUUUACAACACAAAUCCAACACACACUAUUAAGUGGCGGAGCUAGUCCAAAUAGUUGGGGCGGAUCGCUACAAAUAUAAAUCGAAUAUGCAAAAAACAUUACUAAAAAAAGACAUAUCAUAUUGAGGGUGUGUCUAAUAUGGAUAUCUAAAAAAGAGUCAAUAGAUGGACCAUUACCAUUUUUAAUAAAUAAAUUUAAAAUUUUUUAACAAAAGAUUGAUCAAACAUGAAUUUUUAUACACAAACUCUAUUUUAAAUAAAAAUUUGAGUACUUUUUUCUUCAAAAAAAUAUACUUGAAUACUUUCACAAAAUAAAUUACACAUUCUAAAAUAUUAAACAAUAAAAUAUUAGAAGGGAUACUUCAAAGAAAAUAAAUUAAGAAGGAUAUUUGAAUUAUUAACAUAUAAUGGAGAAAUUUUGCGUCGUCCAAAUAGAGGGGGUUUGAAAGCCCCGCAAACUGGAAACCUGUUCUAGUGGUCCAAAUUUGGGGUGCUUGAAACCCCCGCAAACUGGCAAGUAACAAACUAAACAUACUAUAUAGCGGUGGUUUAAAACAGCCGCUAAAUANNNNNNNNNNNNNNNNNNNNNNNNNNNNNNNNNNNNNNNNNNNNNNNUAUGAAAAAAAUCAAAAGUCUUGGGGUGAACCAUGGCCCAGCCCAGCCCAUGAGGGGCUCCGCCCCUAACAAUAUUGCCACUAUGAUUUUAUACUCAUUUUAUAUAUUUUUUUUAAGAAAAAUUAAAAACACAUAUAUGUGAAAGAGAAUUGAUUUACCAACAUAGUGUGGUAAUGGUAAAUACUUUGGUCCCUUAAUCAAUUAAUUAUGGGUUCGAUAUCCGGCCGGUGCGUAUAGAGAAGCAUUUAUUGAGAGAUGUCAACCAUAUUUAAAUGGAUCCCAGUUACUUGGAAUGAAUUAGUCUACGUAGUUGCACACGGAUGAUACCUUUAGUUUAAAAAAUAAGAGAAUUGAUUUUUUUUGGGUAUAAAAAAAAAAACUUUCAUCGGCCACCAUCUCUCUUUUUGGGCCACCCUCUCUCUCUCUUACCUUUACUCUCUCUCAUUGUUCUUUGCUGGUGUACGUGGAAGGAUCUCUCAGCGUGGUGGUGACUGGUGAGGUCGGCGACAAUUGUGGCGGCGAUAAUGGAGGUCGGAUCUGAAUGGAUUGAGAGAGANNNNNNNNNNNNNNNNNNNNNNNNNNNNNNNNNNNNNNNNNNNNNNNNCAGUUGGAAGAGAAGGUGAAUGAGGAAGAAGAGAAAACGACGGACAAGGCGGAGAGAAGGAAUAUUAAAUUUUUCACUUUGACAAAAUCAAUUUUUUUUAUAAUUAUUAUUAUGAAAAUGACUACAUUAUCAAUGAUAUUAUAUUUGUGUCCAAAAAAACAUUUCUCAUUAAUUAAAUAAACCACCAACACCCAAAAAAAAAAAACAAACUAAACCACCAACACUAGACACAGAAGAAGUAAUCGGACAGAAAUGUACAUCUCUGAUGUGUUUGGUCUUAGAAAGUAGAAACGAUCUUCCAAAGCAAAUUACUCCUAGUACUUUUAUACGGCCAUGCAUGUCCUUAAUUUUGUCUUUAUGGGCACAUGUGUUUUUCUUAAUCAAUGCCAAAACUAAGAUCGUUGAUAAAACAUAAUAUCACCACAAAUAAAUCCUAAUGCCCAAGUUAAAGUAUACUAGUACUUUCAAUGCGUAAUCAUUUUUUGUGUGUAAUGGAGACAAUGAAUGAAAUUUCAACCUAAAACUUUUAUGCAUACUACACUAAUUAAUUUAAUAUUACUACCAUUUUUUGUGUUGGGAGGAUAGUAAAAGACUAAAAGUUGAACAAUUUUGUACAUUUGCUUCAGGUGUAGUAUUUUUUUUUCUUUCUAAUAUUUCAUCCCAUAAUUCUUUUUAGGGAAUGCUAAAGAGUAUCUCAUGAUACUUUUUAAGCAUUUUAAAUAGUAAGUUUUUGUGAAAAUUUUAUAAAAACGUGUGAAGUCAGUACAUCAGAAAGUGAAAUGUUUCACUCUUUAAAUAAGUAAUUUCUUUAAAUUGAAUAUUUAAAAAAUCUCCUGAAAACAGUUUUAGCAAGACCCUUCAUUUUAUAAGAUUCGAUUAGAUAUCGAAUCAUUGAGAUUAUGGGCCCAUAGACACCACAAUCAUGGUUAUAUAGAAUUCUACAUAUUAUCCAUAGAAGAUGUUUUCAUAUACUCCAUUCCAUUCGUAACACUUUAUAAGCAAAUUUUCAAAUACAUUAGCUAUGCAAUGAAUGUAGAAAUGUGAAAUUUGCUUAUAAAUUGUUAUGGAGGGAGUACAUCGACACUUAAAUUUAUACACAUGCUAGCUUUUGUGAGAGAUAUGAAUUGUAUACUUACUAGCUAAUUGAAUUUACGUACCUUCAUUGUUGGCAAGUAGUUUUCAUUUGUCUAAGUGUAUCGAUGUGGUAUUUCUCUAUUCCUGAACUAGUUAUAGUGGAUGUCACACCCUUCAUGUCCAGCCAAUGAGAUUAAUUAGUUGGAGGAAGAAAUGGAAGAGAUGGAAAAGGCCAACAAUUUUUCU
rnacentral:lncRNA from 1 species